AGAACCAGUACUUGGUGUCCAUGGAGGAGAUAAUUAGAAUGCUUCCCAAGUAAGGAGUGAACCCACUAACACCCGAUCGCUAGGCGGAUAUCUCAUCCACUACAACACCGCGACCUUGAACUACAAAUAUUUUUUUAUGUCCCCCACUAUAGAAGUGGGGGACAUAUUGUUUUUGCCCUGUCUGUUGGUUGGUCUGUUGGUUGGUUGGUUUGCGCCAACUUAAACAUUUUGCAAUAACUUUUGCUAUAUUGAAUAUAGCAACUUGAUAUUUGGCAUGCAUGAGUAUCUCAUGGAGCUGCACAUUUUGAGUGGUGAAAGGUCAGAGGUCAAAUAUAUGUGGCCUAAAUUGCUCAUUUUAUGAAUACUUUUGCAAUAUUGAAGAUAGCAACUCGAUAUUUGGCAUGCAUGUGUAUCUCAUGGAGCUGCACAUUUUGAGUGGUGAAAGGUCAAAGUCAAGGUCAUCCUUCAAGGUCAGAGGUAAAACAUAUUUGUCCCAAAUCGCUUAUUUUAUUAAUACUUUUGAAAUAUUGAAGAUAGCAACUUGAUAUUUGGCAUGCAUGUGUAUCUCAUGGAGCUGCACAAUUUGAGUGGUGAAAGGUCAAGGUCAUCCUUCAAGGUCAAGGUCAUCCUUAAAGGUCAAAUAUAUGGGUCAAAAUUGCUCAUGUAAUGUCACUUCUGCAAUAUUGAAGCUAGCAAUUUUAUAUUUGAAAUGCAUGUGUAUCUCAUGGAGCUGCACAUUUUGAGUGGUGAAGGGUCAAGGUCAUCCUUCAAGGUCAAACAUUAUUUAGGGGGACAUUGUGUUUCACAAACGCAUCUUGUUUCAAAUUAUCUUUAUUCAACAACAUUUUGUAUAACGAUAAAACAACUCACUCUUAGAGAUACGUCUAGUAGUGAUGCACUGCUUUCAACCAACAAACCAUCUGCCUCGUUCUCGAAACUCAAGUCUGGUGAACGGUUAUCUGACAUUUCCUCAGUUUCUGGUGUGGAAUUCGUCUCAUCUGCUUCAGGGCCAUUUUCCAGAGUCUGUAAGGUAAACAAAUAAAAUUAAAUCAGCACAUCAAAGACCUAGAAAUACACAUACUUUUUCAAACUAACAUGAAAGAAUGAUGUUCAGAUACGUAAUAUUUAUGCUUCUGUAUCAUGUUGUAAACACCGUCAGAUUCUAUACCGAUAGAGUAACUGACCCAUGUUCAUUCUUGAAACCUCGUAUAGCCUAGUGGCAACAUAUCCGCUUCAAAAUAUCAGAUACCAUUGGUUCGAUCCUCGGCUGUGAGCUACAUAAAAUAAAUCAUGAACUGUGCCAUGGGUAUGUCUGCCAUUAUCCCAUGCUUGAUUGUACCACAAGGAAUCACUGAUUUGAAUAGUAAGCUCGAUUUAAUAAUCCAUCGGAAUCGUUUUAAGGUGAUAAUCUGAUUACACGCAGUGCGCAAUCUGAUUAUGUGAUGACUUAAAUUAGUAUAAGUAUUAAUAUGAUUUAAUAAGAAUAGUAUAUGUGCCUUUUAUACACGCGUUCAAUGCCAUAAUACCGGUAAAAUCAUAAGUUGAUUUAGAUAUCAGUACAUUAAAUAAAUGUCUAUAUAUUAUAAUCAUACAAUACGCAAUUUUACAAUGCCGAAGUAAUGUUAUUUACUGAAAUAAGAUCUAUUUUCGCAUGACACUGGCUGUAUAGCAAGUAGUCUUAUAUAAAUAAGAGCAACAUUACUUCAAGCACGUACACUUAACAAAAAGAGUUCUCCGUUUAAAAAUGAUGGUAUUAAGGUGUUACUAAAUAUAAAAUACCCAACAGCGGGCGAGCGUUUAAUGCACUUUGCGCUUGAUGAAUAAUGUUAUACAAUUAUUAUGGGCAAAUUUAUAAUUUCAAAACAUUAUUAGUUGUUGAUGUUAUUCGCGUUCAAUAAAUACAUCAGUUCUUCUUAUCAACCUGAUGCCUGUUGCCUGCUACAGUUUCUUAUCAUAAUUGUAUAAACUACAAUACACCAUCAGCGGCCGAGAGCAGAAUACCGGCCGCUAAAUAAAUUGUGACUUGCAUCAAAUCUCAGGUCAAAUUUCGAUUGUUUUACAAUAAAAUACUAAUAUUUUAUAAUGUCAAGCACGUGCACUUAAUAAAAUACGAUAUGUCUUUAUUUAUUGUAGAAUUUUGCAAAAGUAAAGCGCUUUAUAUAUAGCAAUGUUUUAUUAUUUCUUUCUAGUUACGUAAAUAAACAAAACAUAAUUAUGUAUAUAACAUUUAAUAUUUGUACAUAAUUUAUAAAAAUAAAUACAAUGAAACGUGAUGUUUGUGAAGUGCGCGUGACAUUGAACUUCGAGUUAAGCGAAAGAUGCGAAUUAAAUUACACAUAAUUAAAAACUGAUACUAUUCUGUCAGCAUGUUUUAUACUCCAUCGCGCCAAUAAAUUCAUCAAAUUGUGUAUACAAGCAAAACGAUGGAAAUUAUGACAGAAACCCAGCUUUUCAAAUAAAAUGACCCUUAACAUAACGCUAGCAGACCCGAAUGAAUAUACUUUAUUUGAGUCGUGUUCUGAGAAAACUGUGCAUAAUGCAUGUGCUUAAAGUGUCGUCCCAGAUUAGCCUGUACAAUCCGCACGAAUUAUCAGGGACGGCACUUUCCGCUUUUAUGACAUUUUUCGUUUAAAUGAAGUGUCUUUUUAGCAAAAAUCCAAUUUAGGGUCGACACUUUACGCACAUGCAUUAUGCCCAUUAUUCCCAGAACGCGACUCAUUUAAUCCAAUCAGGUAAAUAACAAAUACAAUAAUAAAACAGGGGAAGUCUACACUGUGUAUUAGCAACCUGCUGUGGUGAAUAUAUCUUAUCAGCUAAAUACACAGGCACCUGGCUACUGUACUGGAAAAAUUGGAUUUACUGCCAAAAUAAUUGAUUUCAUUUAUGGCUAAAUUGUUGUGUACAUGUAAAAUUAAAAACGAGGAUGUAUCCACAUCACCGUUGCACAUUGUUAUUAAUUUCACAGUUAUCUGUUCUUUAUUAGAGAUAGCCUAAUUAAAGACGGCGCUAAUAAAAUGUGAAGGUGGAUAUAAAGAAAUAAGGUCAAUUUCCGCACUGACAGUAUAGCAAGUAGUCUUAUAUAACAUAUUAAAAAUAUUCCAUGGUUAAAAAUGCACGAUGUUAUAUAGUAAAAGAGUGUGUUUGAGUAAUCAAUAGGAUAUUUUGUAUUGGCUAUAUUGUUUCACUCGUAAAGAAAAUACCAAAAUCGACGUGCGAAACGUAAAAAUUUAUAUCUGAAAUAAUAUUGUUAAGGGCGUUAAGCUAGUUAAAAAUAAUCACGAUUAUUUACUAUGUAUAAAUUAGAUAAAACGUUAAGAUGUAAAUUCUUAUCAUAAAUAUAAAAUGCACAUAAUAUUAUAAUAUUCAUUCAUAUUUCAUUAUUUCAGGUAAAAGUACAAACAUAUUGUUUUAAAUCCUAUGUAAUCAGCACUUUAUGUUGGAUUUCAACAAUGCUUAAUUAAUUAUCGGGUGUAGCAGCGGUGUACAUUACCCAUAUGAUAUAACGCAAAGGUAACGGUCAAGCGACUUCCCACAUUUAUAUGACAUGUUUUAUUAUCGUUAUCAGGUAUCUGUUAUGUGUCAACGGAUUAACGGACAUUGGUUGAUUACCCGAUAAUAUGCAAGUAUCAAAUGAUUUAGAUUCAUAAGUUAUGGGAAAACAUUAUAUGCCUGACCUGAAAAAUGUAAGUCAUAACAAAUAAUUAUAUUAUAAGUUCACUUACCAGAAUCACAACCUAAGUGUUGCCAUCGCUCGCAGGCAUCGCAAGAAACAGCACGUUGCCUCUGCCCAACUGUCUUUCCACAAUGUAUGCACUUUACCACUUCUGCCAUUGCAGAAACACAAAACUCACUUACUCUCACAGUAAAAUUAUUGUAUCCUACAUUUAAGAAGCACAAAUGUUUGAAAUAUUUAUAUAAAUUAGUUCAAUUUAUGAUUCACUGUGUGUGUUUCAGAGUUUAUUUACAGGUCCUACUGGCCUCUUCACGAGGUUAUGGUAGCCCGACCUGCCCCUGUGACCUCUCAGGGGAAAAAGAUUAAUUUAGAGCCAAAGUAGGUCAAAUUUACCCCGGCUUCCCGGGUAUUCGCCAAAUAAUUUAAUUUUAAAGAGAGUUUCGUGCACGUUGGCCAAUGAGACCUUAAUGUGUUAUUUACCGUAAGGUGGUGAUGAGGUGCGGAUCCCGCCGAGUGUCCCGCACACUACUUAUGUACAAGACACUCAACGCGACCCACAUACCAACACCACUCGGUAAGUAAGACCCGGAAUACACACACAUAACGCUCUCACAACCCCCCACUCAUAACGGGUGAUGUGUAUGAGAGUGCCACGCCCAUGUGUUCCGGGUCCCUUGAUGUUGAUCUGUGUAUGGUUGUGUAUAGUAUGUGGUAUGUGAUUGUUGUGCAUUUGUCUGGAGCGGAAGAGGAGAUGUCUGUCGGUUAUUUACGGUCGUCGGUCAGUCGUGAAGGGCUGUAUAUCGUUGCAGUUCCCAGAUCGCAGAACACGCCGCCCCCGCACAAGCGCACCCACGCCGAGCGAGCCCGAGCCCCCCCCCCCCCCGCGCCCGCAUACGGCCCCGGCCCUAGCACCCAACCGCUGAAGACCCUCGAGACAAGCACCCUCAUCCACCCUCUCGCUGCGCGCGACAACAGAUCAGUCAAGAACCAACCAUGGAGCCCCCCAAAGCCCCACCCGGAGUCACCAUCGUUCUUUCCCACCCACCUGCCAAACAUCCAGACCAUGUAUCAAGCUGGGAUGUAUUUAUUUUGUAGUUAUGUUAUAUUUGCUAUUAUAAUUGGAUAGGUAAAGUAAAUAAAUGAUCUCAAAAUGCCGUUGUUAUAUCAUAUGAUUUAUUUAUGUUUUAUAUUAAUUUGUAAAACUCAUAGUAUUAUAGUUUAUGUCCCGUAUUCUAGCUUUCAUUUACCCAAGUGUGGUUAUUGUGCUCUCCGCCCCAUGAGAGGUGUUAGUGGGGGUUCGAGCAGGAUACAGGAAACGCCCCGAUUCCAGAGGCGCCCCUGGUUCUUUUAAGUGCCCGGUGUAUAGCACCGAUACACUGCACCCCCGUUUAACGUCUCUCGCGGAGGACAUAUUAGUACAUAGUGUUAGUAUCGGUACUUAUAUACAUGUGUAGUUCUGCUGUCUUGUGUCAUAUCUUACGGUAACGUGGGCUCUCUCUGUUGCUAUUUGGUAUAUAGUUUGAAUGUUAUUGCGAAGGGCAGGCUAGUUUUUGAAAGAUCAUGUAUUUGAUGAUAGAAGAAAGGGACUAUGUUUGUUUGAUUGGGCCGAUGACUAGUUCGUUGGGGGUAGAAAAUUUCUUUGUAAAUUCUUUCUUAUUGCUGUGUUAAGUGUCUUGUGAGACUGUGGUGUUGUAAGGGCCAGACUAGUUUUGAUAGGUCAUUUAUUUGAUGAAAGAAGAGAGGGCUGAGUUUGAGAUGAUAGUAAAUUUGGUAUUAGGGAGAGCGCACACGUUAGUGUUUCUGGUUAUAAAAGCAAAGACAGCAUUCCUAUGUGUUUUUGUAAUAUGCCAGGUUAGUAUCGUGGUCUGGUCUGGGGCAUAUGAUUCACUGAAAACUGCCCGCUUUAUAUACAGACAGCCCUCUUAAAUGAUCAGUCGCCAAAUACGCAAUCGCUCCGCCCACUAAGUUGUGUUUUCAUAAAACGCUUAUUCCAUUACUCCGUAAGUCUUUGUUUGUCGGACCAUGUGGCCGCAAUAAACGAAAUCUGAUUGAUUAUUACGUGAGUUUGAUUGACAGCUGGCGAGUGGUCAAUUACUUUAAAAAGAGCAUUGUUGUCUGGUUAAGCUUGUUAAUAACCUUAUGUAGUCUUUUAUCACGCCAAACUGUGAUACCAUAUGUCUUACUCAUAAAUCUGUGUCCAGACAAUCAAAGCAUGUCGGCAUAAUUAAUUUUCAUCAACUCACACUUUUACAAAACAUAACUAACACAAAAGCAUUCAAUUAUUCUUCUAUAUUUAAACCAAACUAUCAUACAAUAUGUCUGAUUAAAAAAUCUUUGAACAGAAAAUGAAAGCAUGCCGUCAAAUUAAACGUCGUUUAACAUUUCACGCUUGUUCAGAUUUCAGGGGCGAAUUGUCUUGGGGUGAGAUUUCUUUGGGGCGAGUUGUCUGAUUCCCAUUCCGAAUGGACUUUGAAAGAAACGAACGACAACUUUGUAAGAAAACCCGCCAAUGGGGCUCGCGACCAAUCGGAUGGAUGCUAUGCCUGCUGGGAUAGCCAUGCUCUUUUUCGACGCGGACAGUGGACCCGACAUGACCGACUUAACGGACUCGACGUGACGGACUCGACCUAAUCAAUUUUCUUUAUUCUUAGACUUAAGUCUAAGAAUUGUUUGGUGAAUACGGGCCUAGCAGAUUCUUUUGUGCACGAGAUGCGGUCAAAAAGAAGAAAAGACGAAAGAACCAAUCCAGACUUGGUGGCAGAGGAAAGUAUAAAAAAGAAUGCAGAUCUUGGUGGAUUUUGUGUGGAUACAAUUCCACCUAAAGGUAGAGGAGUUAGAACAGAAGUUCAUAGAAACAAGGGCGACUUUCUCCUUACCUAUCAUGGAGAAUUAAUCACAGGAGAAGAAGGCAAUAAAAGAGAACUAAUGUCUGUCUCUGUCUUCAGAUUCUUCUUUUCUUUCAAAGGGAAGCAGUGGUGGUAAGCAGAUGACUUUUAU